rnacentral:rRNA from 1 species
UGGUCAGAGAGAACGCUGUCGGCAGACUUAUCACAUGCACGUCUAGCGGAAAUGAUGGGAGCUUGCUCCCAGAUUUAGAGCGGCAGACGGGUGAGUAACAUUUAGGUAUCUACGUAGUAGUGGGGGAUAGCUUGGGGAAACUCGAAUUAAUACCGCAUAUGUCCUACGAGAGAAAGGGGGCUGUUUACUGCUCUCGCUAUCAGAUGAGCCUAAGUCGGAUUAGCUAGAUGGUGAGGUAAAGGCUUACCAUGGCGACGAUCUGUAGCUGGUCUGAGAGGAUGAUCAGUCACACCGGGACUGAGACACGGUCCGGACUCCUACGGGAGGCAGCAGUGGGGAAUAUUGGACAAUGGGGGAAACCCUGAUCCAGCCAUGCCGCGUGUGUGAAGAAGGUCUUUUGGUUGUAAAGCACUUUAAGCAGGGAAGAAGACCAUAUGGUUAAUACCCAUAUGCGAUGACAUUAGCUGCAGAAUAAGCACCGGCUAACUUUGUGCCAGCAGCCGCGGUAAUACAGAGGGUGCAAGCGUUAAUCGGAAUUACUGGGCGUAAAGCGAGCGUAGGUGGCUUGAUAAGUCAGAUGUGAAAUCCCCGGGCUCAACCUGGGAACUGCAUCCGAUACUGUUAAGCUAGAGUAGGUCAGAGGGAAGUAGAAUUCCAGGUGUAGCGGUGAAAUGCGUAGAGAUCUGGAGGAACACCGAUGGCGAAGGCAGCCUCCUGGCAUCAUACUGACACUGAGCUCGAAAAGAGCGG